CCUACGGGAGGCAGCAGUGAGGAAUAUUGGACAAUGGAGGAAACUCUGAUCCAGCCAUGCCGCGUGCAGGAAGACGGCCCUAUGGGUUGUAAACUGCUUUUAUACAGGAAGAAACGUUAGUACGUGUACUAACCUGACGGUACUGUAAGAAUAAGGAUCGGCUAACUCCGUGCCAGCAGCCGCGGUAAUACGGAGGAUCCAAGCGUUAUCCGGAAUUAUUGGGUUUAAAGGGUCCGUAGGCGGUCUAAUAAGUCAGAGGUGAAAUACUAUCGCUCAACGAUAGAACUGCCUUUGAUACUGUUAGACUUGAGUUAUUGUGAAGUAGUUAGAAUGUGUAGUGUAGCGGUGAAAUGCAUAGAUAUUACACAGAAUACCGAUUGCGAAGGCAGAUUACUAACAAUAUACUGACGCUCAGGGACGAAAGCGUGGGUAGCGAACGG
rnacentral:rRNA from 1 species